GCGUUAAAGCGAGUUAAAGCGGUCAGCGUCUGCUCGACAUUUGAACAAAGCGAAAUCGAUCUUGCAUCCCUGCUGUCAUAGCUCGAGCAGUUUUUCGAUCAAGUUUGGCAACUCGGUAUUUGUUUUGAUAAGUUUUCAAGCAGUUUCCGCAGAAAGAAAACAAAAACAAAGCAGGUCGCGUUUUUUUUUUGGUCAAAGGUCGGAAAACUUUACUCCGGUGGGAUGACCGGCGCCGGCGUUUUGCUACAACGAGGCAAGCAGCAACUGGACCCGAAAGUGACCGGCAAGCUGCAACUGGGGGGAGAAAAAGUUCAAGUAUCUUAGCAACGUCCGGGGUGUCAUUCCGGUGUCGGCGCUCAAUCAAUGGAAGGCACCACAACUGGGCAUUUUGGUGCGACUCCCCGGAAAGUGUAUUUUCUAACCAAGUUCAACAAUGAGCUGCGAGAGGAGAAACGAGAGUUUAAGGCGGCGGCUGUAGGGAGGAGUGUCCACCGAAACCGAUGGCACAGUGGACGGUGCCGUUCGGUGUUUUUUUCCGGGCGUUUAAGCAAACUAGCUCCCAACAAAUGACGCCGACGAGCGGCUUAGCGUGUGGCUUGUCUGGACCACAACAUCGGCGAGUUCUGUUGUAACCUGUAUGGGAAACCGGUGCCGUUAGGGUGGACAGAUUAAGGCCUGUGCCGUUGGAGUGGACAGGUCCAUUCAGAAGAGGAAAAUGCGCCACAGUUUGAUACAUUCUACGAGAAGAAGAGUAAUAAAGUUCUAGGUGGAGUUUCGGAGGACUUUUUAUUCCAACGUUUAUUAGCUAUGCAGGCCUAAAUACUGUGGUCAAAAGCCGCCGUUUCUGUCCGCCGCUUGGGGGCAAAGGGAACGACUACUAAAAUAGUUUUGAAUACUUUAUUGAAUGUAAAGCCAUUUCGAAAUAAUAAAAAAUGGUAACGAAAACCAA